CCUUAUCAUUUAGAGGAAGGAGAAGUCGUAACAAGGUUUCCGUAGGUGAACCUGCGGAAGGAUCAUUGUCGAUGCCUAAACAUCAAACGACCCGUGAACGCGUUCACAAAUGAAUUGUUCGUGUCGGGGGUGGCGGAAAGCAUGCUCUUUUGCCUGCCCCUACAUCCUCGAUGCGCUUAAACCAAACCCCGGCGCAGGUCGCGCCAAGGAACUUGAAAUGAAUUUGCAUGCCCCUUGCCCCGAUCUCGGAGUGCAAGGGGUAUAGCAUUCUUGUCGUAUUACUCACAACGACUCUCGGCAACGGAUAUCUCGGCUCUCGCAUCGAUGAAGAACGUAGCGAAAUGCGAUACUUGGUGUGAAUUGCAGGAUCCCGCGAACCACCGAGUCUUUGAACGCAAGUUGCGCCCGGAGCCUUUUGGCCGAGGGCACGUCUGCCUGGGCGUCACGCAUCGCUGCCCCCCAUGCAACACCCAUUGUGGGCCUGUUGCACUGGCUGGGGCACACGCUGGCCUCCCGUGCGCACCGUCGCGUGGAUGGCUUAAAUUUGAGUCCUUGGCGCACGUCGUCGUGACACUACGGUGGUUGAACAAACCUCAGUACAACGUCGCAGCCUCGAUGCCCAUCCUUGGACUCUUGCAAUGACCCUCUGAACGACAUCCCUUAAAGGAUGACGCUCUCGACGCGACCCCAGGUCAGGCGGGACUACCCGCUGAGUUUAAGCAUAU
rnacentral:rRNA from 1 species